UACGAAGGGGGCUAGCGUUGUUCGGAAUCACUGGGCGUAAAGGGUGCGUAGGUGGGGCUUUAAGUCAGGGGUGAAAUCCCGGGGCUCAACCCCGGAACUGCCUUUGAUACUGAGGAGCUUGAGUCCGGGAGAGGUGAGUGGAACUGCGAGUGUAGAGGUGAAAUUCGUAGAUAUUCGCAAGAACACCAGUGGCGAAGGCGGCUCACUGGCCCGGUACUGACGCUGAGGUGCGAAAGCGUGGGGAGCAAACAGG
rnacentral:rRNA from 1 species